UACGAAGGGGGCUAGCGUUGCUCGGAAUCACUGGGCGUAAAGGGUGCGUAGGCGGGUUUUUAAGUCAGAGGUGAAAUCCUGGAGCUCAACUCCAGAACUGCCUUUGAUACUGAAAGUCUUGAGUAUGGGAGAGGUGAGUGGAACUGCGAGUGUAGAGGUGAAAUUCGUAGAUAUUCGCAAGAACACCAGUGGCGAAGGCGGCUCACUGGCCCAUUACUGACGCUGAGGCACGAAAGCGUGGGGAGCAGACAGG
rnacentral:rRNA from 1 species